CACGUAGGGUGCGAGCGUUGUCCGGAAUUAUUGGGCGUAAAGAGCUCGUAGGCGGUGUGUCGCGUCGGCCGUGAAAACCUGCAGCUUAACUGUGGGCUUGCGGUCGAUACGGGCAUCACUGGAGUUCGGCAGGGGAGACUGGAAUUCCUGGUGUAGCGGCGAAAUGCGCAGAUAUCAGGAGGAACACCGGUGGCGAAGGCGGGUCUCUGGACCGAUACUGACGCUGAGGAGCGAAAGCGUGGGGAGCGAACAGG
rnacentral:rRNA from 1 species